CAGCUUCCUGUGACCCGGAUUGCCUCUGACUCUGCUGAUCUUCUCCUGGACCGAACCUCGGCUUGUAUUACGGACUCCGCUUGUCUCCUGUGUUUGAUCCUCGGCCUCUGACCUGGACUUUGCCUCUUAUCUCCUUGCCUUGACCUUUUGCCACAACCUUAUGAAGACUCUAGAUGAAGAUUAUUCCAACCUACUACCCUUGAGAAGCCAACAUUUUAUCAAUACAGCUUUUCUUUAAUGUGCACUUUGUGAUACAUAAAAGUAUAUUUUAAUAAACCAAGAGCCUGUGUUCUGGUGUUUUGCAA